rnacentral:ncRNA from 1 species
UACCUGGCUACGAGCAGGAGGAGUAGACGCACCCACCGCCAGAGAGAAGGGAUCGCUGGCUGCAAGUCCCUUUCGGUUGAAGAAGCGUUGAAGGUCGCCUGGGAGUCUGAAAAGCACCCAUUCUGGGGAAUUUUCACGGAUGUGUCCGUUAUCGCACCCAUGAGGAUCAAUCUGUGCAAUUGAUCGAACAAAGGUGGUACCACGAGUCAUGUCCUUUCUCGUCCUUUAC